rnacentral:rRNA from 1 species
CCUACGGGCGGCAGCAGUGGGAAUAUUGGACAAUGGGCGAAAGCCUGAUCCAGCCAUGCCGCGUGUGUGAAGAAGGCCUUCGGGUUGUAAAGCACUUUCAGUGGGGAAGAAAGCCUUGGGGCUAAUACCCUCGAGGAAGGACAUCACCCACAGAAGAAGCACCGGCUAACUCCGUGCCAGCAGCCGCGGUAAUACGGAGGGUGCGAGCGUUAAUCGGAAUUGCUGGGCGUAAAGCGCGCGUAGGCGGUCUGAUAAGCCGGUUGUGAAAGCCCCGGGCUCAACCUGGGAACGGCAUCCGGAACUGUCAGGCUAGAGUGCAGGAGAGGAAGGUAGAAUUCCCGGUGUAGCGGGGAAAUGCGUAGAGAUCGGGAGGAAUACCAGUGGCGAAGGCGGCCUUCUGGACUGACACUGACGCUGAGGUGCGAAAGCGUGGGUAGCAAACAGGAUUAGAUACCCCGGUAGUC